rnacentral:rRNA from 1 species
AUUGAACGCUGGCGGCAGGCCUAACACAUGCAAGUCGAGCGGAUGAAGGGAGCUUGCUCCUGGAUUCAGCGGCGGACGGGUGAGUAAUGCCUAGGAAUCUGCCUGGUAGUGGGGGAUAACGUCCGGAAACGGGCGCUAAUACCGCAUACGUCCUGAGGGAGAAAGUGGGGGAUCUUCGGACCUCACGCUAUCAGAUGAGCCUAGGUCGGAUUAGCUAGUUGGCGGGGUAAAGGCCUACCAAGGCGACGAUCCGUAACUGGUCUGAGAGGAUGAUCAGUCACACUGGAACUGAGACACGGUCCAGACUCCUACGGGAGGCAGCAGUGGGGAAUAUUGGACAAUGGGCGAAAGCCUGAUCCAGCCAUGCCGCGUGUGAAGAAGGUCUUCGGAUUGUAAAGCACUUUAAGUUGGGAGGAAGGGCAGUAAGUUAAUACCUUGCUGUUUUGACGUUACCAACAGAAUAAGCACCGGCUAACUUCGUG